rnacentral:lncRNA from 1 species
GGCAAAUACAAUAACCUCAGCUGGCAUCGAUUGUAAUGACAUCGUUUGAAUCCUCGAGAGCAUGCAGUUGACUCUGUGAGAUCCCUAUGUAGUCAGUGGAGGGCCUCCGGGUCUUACUUUCCUAGUCUGGUUUUGGAAAGAUGCUGGCCGGAGGGUUGGUUGGGUACAGUGCCCCCAUAUGCACAGCUCCAGUGGGCACAUUGCACUUACAGAAUGCAACGGAUUGGUGCAGCCUCAUGGGAGAGGUGACUAAGAGUCCUCAACUAUGCUGCUGGGAAUAACGUGGCUGGUUGGACUUGGACGUGUUAGUUGGCUAAGGGACCAGAAUCUCUACCCAAGCUAGGCAUGGUUUGAGGGAUGGAGAAGGAGCUGAGGCAAAGUUUGAAAUUGACUCCGGAGGAAAUGUAGAACACCUUGGGUGACUUUCCUGGUCGCAUAGGAGAUGGGUGGGUGACGGCAACUCCAUCUGUGCACUCCAGCCCCCAGGGGAGACGUGACAGAGCCCAGGCCCCAAGUCCUGCCUGGGCUCUUCACUUUGCAGCUGGCCAGAGGCAACAGAUGGGCUGUGGGGUAAGGUGGUGCUGACUCUCCCAAGACCAACUCCAGGCCCCCAGGUCAGAGCAAGGCCACCAUCCCCUGGAACUCCUGCCUCGGGCACCGUCCCGGGGCCAAUGCACAGGGGAGAGAGGCGUGGCCUCAGCAGUGGAUGAGGAGACAGGUAGCUCCUGGGUGCACCUGCCAGCCUUGACCAGGGUCCCCAAGUCAGCUUCUGGGGGCCUCUGCUCUGGUCUGCUCAAGUGAACUUUUGCCCGCACAGGGAGAGAUGUGGCUGGCUGACACAGCUCUGGUCCUGGAGUCUGCACUCGAUCUGAGUACUGAGCCCACACCUUUUCAGUGAAAGCAUAUUGAGUACCUACCACGAACCAGUGAGAGGAAAAUACAGGAUAAGCAACGGCAAGAGAGGAGGGAAAUCCUUCCCCGUCCGGAUCACUCCCCAAAGCUGUGCGGUUCCCAGAAAGACGGCGGCCCAAAGGCCCUUCCAUCUGUCGACGCGAGGAGCCGGCACAGAUGGAGCCGUUCAUUAUUGCUGCGUGCCUGACCCCAGCGCUGCCGGGGGCGCCUGGAAGCCGCCUUCCGAGGUGCGCUGGCUGUGCUGGGGAAAGAGCUGACCGGCGCCCGCUGGGAACUCGAGUGUGAGGAGUCCGCGGCCCAGGGCGGGGGUGAGGCUGGGAGGUGGGGUAGAGGGGAGUAGGUAGCCCCAGCCGUCCAUCCUAAACUCAGCCCCAGUC